rnacentral:rRNA from 1 species
UUAAAUUGAAGAGUUUGAUCAUGGCUCAGAUUGAACGCUGGCGGCAGGCCUAACACAUGCAAGUCGAACGGUAACAGGAAGCAGCUUGCUGCUUCGCUGACGAGUGGCGGACGGGUGAGUAAUGUCUGGGAAACUGCCUGAUGGAGGGGGAUAACUACUGGAAACGGUGGCUAAUACCGCAUAACGUCGCAAGACCAAAGAGGGGGACCUUUGGGCCUCUUGCCAUCAGAUGUGCCCAGAUGGGAUUAGCUUGUUGGUGAGGUAACGGCUCACCAAGGCGACGAUCCCUAGCUGGUCUGAGAGGAUGACCAGCCACACUGGAACUGAGACACGGUCCAGACUCCUACGGGAGGCAGCAGUGGGGAAUAUUGCACAAUGGGCGCAAGCCUGAUGCAGCCAUGCCGCGUGUAUGAAGAAGGCCUUCGGGUUGUAAAGUACUUUCAGCGGGGAGGAAGGUGUUGUGGUUAAUAACCGCAGCAAUUGACGUUACCCGCAGAAGAAGCACCGGCUAACUCCGUGCCAGCAGCCGCGGUAAUACGGAGGGUGCAAGCGUUAAUCGGAAUUACUGGGCGUAAAGCGCACGCAGGCGGUCUGUCAAGUCGGAUGUGAAAUCCCCGGGCUCAACCUGGGAACUGCAUUCGAAACUGGCAGGCUUGAGUCUUGUAGAGGGGGGUAGAAUUCCAGGUGUAGCGGUGAAAUGCGUAGAGAUCUGGAGGAAUACCGGUGGCGAAGGCGGCCCCCUGGACAAAGACUGACGCUCAGGUGCGAAAGCGUGGGGAGCAAACAGGAUUAGAUACCCUGGUAGUCCACACCGUAAACGAUGUCUACUUGGAGGUUGUGCCCUUGAGGCGUGGCUUCCGGAGCUAACGCGUUAAGUAGACCGCCUGGGGAGUACGGCCGCAAGGUUAAAACUCAAAUGAAUUGACGGGGGCCCGCACAAGCGGUGGAGCAUGUGGUUUAAUUCGAUGCAACGCGAAGAACCUUACCUGGUCUUGACAUCCACAGAAGAAUCCAGAGAUGGAUUUGUGCCUUCGGGAACUGUGAGACAGGUGCUGCAUGGCUGUCGUCAGCUCGUGUUGUGAAAUGUUGGGUUAAGUCCCGCAACGAGCGCAACCCUUAUCCUUUGUUGCCAGCGGUUAGGCCGGGAACUCAAAGGAGACUGCCAGUGAUAAACUGGAGGAAGGUGGGGAUGACGUCAAGUCAUCAUGGCCCUUACGACCAGGGCUACACACGUGCUACAAUGGCGCAUACAAAGAGAAGCGACCUCGCGAGAGCAAGCGGACCUCAUAAAGUGCGUCGUAGUCCGGAUUGGAGUCUGCAACUCGACUCCAUGAAGUCGGAAUCGCUAGUAAUCGUGGAUCAGAAUGCCACGGUGAAUACGUUCCCGGGCCUUGUACACACCGCCCGUCACACCAUGGGAGUGGGUUGCAAAAGAAGUAGGUAGCUUAACCUUCGGGAGGGCGCUUACCACUUUGUGAUUCAUGACUGGGGUGAAGUCGUAACAAGGUAACCGUAGGGGAACCUGCGGUUGGAUCACCUCCUUACCUUAAAGAAGC